AUGAUGAUUUAGAAAUUAAUGUUUAUGGUUUAUGUCUGAAAAAUCAUGAAGAUAUUAUUCUAGGGCGGUCUGAAUUU